AGUUUAACGUUGAUAAGGAAUAGUAAUGAUGUCCCCUUGAUUAAGAGAGUUGGCGGCCGGUGUAAGCCAACCAAGACCAUCAUGAACUCACCUUUGAGUUGCAAAUGUGAACAUCCAUCUUUAGGAUUAAGUAGUAUUUGCCGUUUUCCGCGUUAAGGAUGAAUGAAGUGAGUGGUGUUUACACUAAUUUGGGUGGUACCGCGGGAGAAAAUGUUACCUCUCGUCCCUUUA
rnacentral:ncRNA from 1 species